rnacentral:tRNA from 1 species
AAUCAUGAAGUAAUUUUUACAUUUAGUUUCGACCUAAAAAUUAGGUUCUCACUACCCUUGAUUA